rnacentral:rRNA from 1 species
AGUGGCGGACGGGUGAGUAACGCGUGAGCAACCUGCCCUUCGGAACGGGAUAGUGUCUGGAAACGGACAGUAAUACCGUAUAACGUAUUUUUACCGCAUGAUAGAAAUACCAAAACUGAGGUGCCGAUGGAUGGGCUCGCGUCUGAUUAGAUAGUUGGUGGGGUAACGGCCUACCAAGUCGACGAUCAGUAGCCGGACUGAGAGGUUGAACGGCCACAUUGGGACUGAGACACGGCCCAGACUCCUACGGGAGGCAGCAUG